rnacentral:misc_RNA from 1 species
UUAUGUAUCAUUCGACUGCGCUCUCAGACGUUGUCAAUGCUUCCUUUCACUGAAGCGUUUCAAAGCAUGCUGCCGGCAGGCUGACCCCCCACGGCCAGGGGCCGGGAGGUGCUGCCGAAGCAACGAAGGGUUUUCACACGGGGUUUUAACUUUCGGCACCCGCGUCCGCCAUAGAGGAUCUCAUGAGACCUAUGGACAACCGGGGGUGCUUCCAGUAAGGGAGGUUUGUUCAGGUUUUUAGCCGGCCCCUGUGGCCCUCACUUUUUAAUGAUCCUUCCGCAGGUUCACCUACGGAAA